rnacentral:rRNA from 1 species
CGACCGGCGCACGGGUGAGUAACACGUAUCCAACCUGCCCUUUACUCGGGGAUAGCCUUUCGAAAGAAAGAUUAAUACCCGAUGGCAUAGUUCUUCCGCAUGGUGGAACUAUUAAAGAAUUUCGGUCAUCGAUGGGGAUGCGUUCCAUUAGGUUGUUGGCGGGGUAACGGCCCACCAAGGCAACGAUCAGUAGCCGACUUGAGAGAGUGAUCGGCCACAUUGGGACUGAGACACGGCCCAAACUCCUACGGGAGGCAGCAUG